GACGAACGCUGGCGGCGUGCUUAACACAUGCAAGUCGAACGAAGUGGCGAACGGGUGAGUAAUACGUGGGUAACCUGCCAUCCCUUUUGGGAUAAGCCUUGGAAACGGGGUCUAAUACCGAAUAAAGGGGGAUGGGCGCGCGGCCUCUCAGCUUGUUGGUGGGGGGAUGGACUACCAAGGCGGUGACGGGUAGCCUGCUUGAGAGGGUAACCGUCCACAGUGGGACGGAGAUACGGCCCAGAGUCGUACGGGAGGGAGCAGUGGGGGCUAUUGGACAAUGGGCGAAAGCCUGAUGCAGCGACGCCGCGGGGGGGAUGAAGGCUUUUGGGUUGUAAACCUCUUUCGCUAGCGAACGGGUAGGUGGAGAAGAAGCGCCGGCUAACUACGUGCCAGCCGCCGCGGUAAUUC
rnacentral:rRNA from 1 species